rnacentral:rRNA from 1 species
CACGUAGUUAGCCGGUGCUUAUUCUUCAGGUACCGUCAUUAGCCGAGGAUAUUAGCCCCAACCGCUUCUUCCCUGACAAAAGAGCUUUACAACCCGAAGGCCUUCUUCACUCACGCGGCAUUGCUGGAUCAGGCUUGCGCCCAUUGUCCAAAAUUCCCCACUGCUGCCUCCCGUAGGAGUCUGGACCGUGUCUCAGUUCCAGUGUGGCUGGUCGUCCUCUCAGACCAGCUACUGAUCGUUGCCUUGGUAGGCCUUUACCCUACCAACUAGCUAAUCAGAUAUCGGCCGCUCCACGAGCACAAGGUCUUGCGAUCCCCUGCUUUCAUCCGUAGAUCGUAUGCGGUAUUAGCGUAACUUUCGCUACGUUAUCCCCCACUCCUGGGUACGUUCCGAUAUAUUACUCACCCGUUCGCCACUCGCCGCCAGGUUGCCCCGCGCUGCCGUUCGACUUGCAUGUGUAAAGCAUGCCGCCAGCGUUCAAUCUGAGCCAGGAUCAAA